AUGGACACCGACAUUCCAACCUUCUUUCUUUCUUCGGCGCUCCUGAAGGUAACCGGUGCGCGUGUGCACGUCAAUCCGAGGGUGUGUGCGCCCAGUUUCCGGCGCCGCGGGACACCCACAACCGCGGGGCUGUCCCUCAGCUCGGCCGCCCGCCCCGCCCCGCCCCCCUGGACCCGCCUCCCAGGCCCGCCCCGGGCCGUCCUCGCCGCGCCCGCUCCGUCCCGCGCCCUCCACCGCCCUACGGCCUGGGCCCGCCUCCACCCUGCCUCUCCGUGGCUCCCCGGGCUGCCCCCGCCCCCGCCUCCGCCCCCGCCACCUCCCCCGCCGUCGCCCAAUUCCCCCAGCCCCCACCCUCGGCUGCUGCCCGAGCUUCCUCCACGCGCCGUGCAGUCUCCACGGCGACGCUGCGUUCCCGACUCGGAGCCCCCAGCUCCGCGCGAGCAGCUAGCCGGGCUGGUUCUCGGUGUGUGCCCUUCGGAUGGUCGGCUGAAGAGGGCCGCCAGCUGGACUUCUGUAGACAAGACAGAUACUGUAAAGACAGCAAAGAACAAACAGAAUGGCAGAUUGCUAAUGUUUGAUCCAAACGAAAAAGCGAUGAUUGAAUCAAACGAAGCAAUGUCAGAUAAAUGCCUCUUUGGACGCAGACCAAGAUUGACAAGCAAACUUAAUACCUCACCAACACAGGUCUCUGUAAAUGCAGCUAAAACAUUCUCAGAAAAGAAGGAAGUCCCUUCUAAGAAUAUUGAAAAUAAAGUCUCUUUAAAGACUACUGAAAAUAGAGUAUCUUCAAGGAGUAUCAAAAGUAAAGAUAUCUUAACAAAUCUACAGUCUGACCUAUUGUCAUCUUCCUGCUUAAAAGAAAGCACAGGUGAAGUGAGCAAAGAUGCAGUCAUUGUAAAGCAGGAGAAAAAUAAUGAAUAUUGCCUUCAGGAUAUUGAUGAUAAAUUGUCAGAAUCAGCAGAGGAUGAUGGUGAAGAUGAUACCAAUGAUGAAGAUGAUGAUGAAGAUAGUAACCCUAAAAAGAAUACUCAGGCCCCACUAGAGUUAAUGGCAGAAGGAGGAUUAAGGGACUAACUGAAAAAAGAAGCAGGAGGAUCAAAGAAUAAGAGGAGGAUUUUUAGAGGAAGAGACACAAAUAGAAUCUUGGAAACCUGAAGGAAGAGUUCCUGAGAGCAGAAAUGGCCCAAGAGUACCAGCUGGCAAAAAAAUUAUGUCAGAUGAUCCUAAUCUAUGAACCAGAAAAUCCUGAGGCCAAGGAGUUUUUCACACUUAUUGAAGAAAUGUUGCUGAUGGAGAAAACUCAGAAUCAUGAGCAAGACGGUGAAGACAGUGAUGAAGACAGCAGUGGUGAGAGUAAAGGAGAAAGCGAUGAGGAGCUGAGUGACGAGAGCUCUGACGAAGGUGAAGAUGGAUCAUGAGUGUUGCUGCAAUACUUAAAGCUUCAUGUAUUUUCAUUAAUAUAUACUAUGCAAAUAUAAAGACGAGAGUGACA